rnacentral:rRNA from 1 species
UACGUAGGGGGCGAGCGUUGUCCGGAUUUAUUGGGCGUAAAGCGCGCGCAGGCGGUCCUUUAAGUCUGAUGUGAAAGCCCACGGCUCAACCGUGGAGGGUCAUUGGAAACUGGGGGACUUGAGUACAGAAGAGAAGAGUGGAAUUCCAUGUGUAGCGGUGAAAUGCGUAGAGAUGUGGAGGAACACCAGUGGCGAAGGCGACUCUUUGGUCUGUAACUGACGCUGAGGCGCGAAAGCGUGGGGAGCAAACAGG